rnacentral:lncRNA from 1 species
CUCCAAGCACAGACAUCUUUUAUGAUGAACUAGAGCCUCUGAAGAGGAGAAUCUGAACGUGACGUCAAUAGCUGAUAACUGACGCAGCCUUGCAAAGGAGUCUCAGGCUGGCUCCUUGCAGCCUGCAAGCCCUAAUGAUUCUAUUUUUUCCCCAGUCCCCCCUCGUAGUGAAUUACUAGAACGCAAACACACACACACCCCUUUUUUCACAUAUAUAUUUAUAGAUCCUUUAUUCUCCAAACAAAGGAUUUUUUUUUAAAGGGGGAAAAGGCAGUGGGUGGGGUGGGGAGAAUUUAUUUUAAAAACAACCCUUCUUGGUGCUGGGUGCAGUUCAGUAUAUGAAACCAUCUCUGUGUCUCAGCAAAGCAAGCAUCCCUGCCUGAAAUCCACAUUUGUACAUGAUGGCAAACUGGUGCAUGGUGGUUGUGUUUUUUCCAAAGCCCACUUUGUAAAGACUCCGGAGGAAGACAGACACAAUAAUGCUUGCAAGGCAACAGGCAGAGAGGCACAGAGACAGACUCAAUACAACUGUGGAUUAGGGGUUUGUGCAAUAGGACAGCAUGGAAGGCGGUGAGGCCGCACCGUCGAGGCCGGAGGCGGCUCGAGAGCAGCGGGGGCCGCAGGCAGCGGCUCUGUCUCCUGGGAGGUGGCCAGGCUGUCUUCUGAAGUUGCUCCCUUUGCUCGCCAGUGGAGAUUCCUCAGGACAGAUAUCUUCUGCAAGUCCUUUCAGAGGAGAUCUACCAGUGAGAUGUCCACAAUAG